rnacentral:lncRNA from 1 species
GUGGAGUGUUAUCCGGCCAUAAAGUAUUUGAAUUCCAGCCCACGAAGUAUCAGUACAUGCAGCAACAUAGAUGAACCUUGAAAACAUGAAAUUGAGCAAAAGAAGCAAAGUCAGUUUCAAAAGACCACAUACUAUACAUUACCCAGGCUCAUGAAAUAUCCAGAAAGGCAAAUUCAAAGACAAAGAGAGCAGCUGAGUGGUUGCCAGGGACUGGGGAGGGAGGAAUGGGAAGUGACCACUUGGUGGGUGUAAGCUUUCCUCUUGGGGUGACGAGUUGUUCUGGAAGAAGAUAGUGGUGACGGUUGUGCGACAUUGGGAACGUACUAAGCACCACUGAAUUGUACACUUUAAAAUGGUACAUUUUGUAUUUUGUGUAUUUUAUCACCCCUCCUCCUAAAAAGAAGUGAGUACUCAGGGUAUGAUAAGAAUAAGCCCAGAAAGGGAGGUGACCUUGCUGCCAGGCCAGAAGGCCAUGGAGUGGUACAUGAUGUGGAGCAGGGGGUGACCUACCUGGGAAAUUAGGGGGUCACAGAGCCUGGAGGUAUGAAGCAAGCAGGCAGAAGCAACAUGUUUCUAUAGUUGACGUCAAAAUCCUGGUGGAGAGCCUGCUGGGAACUGCAGGCCUCCCAGGUUUAAGAGGCUCGUGUGUGUGUGUGUGUGUGUGUGUGUGUGUGUGAGUGUGUGCAUUUCCUGUAACUAAUGUGGGCUGGGACUUGUCUGUCUUGGCUGCAUUAAACCGAAGACAAGUUCUCCCUGGCUUGGCAGGAAGCAUGUGAAGCUACUGCCAAGACAUCUGUUUCAUCUUUCUUGGCAACGUGAGGCCUCCUGAGAGAGAGACUGCAGCUUGGAAAUGGGAACAUCCGUACUUCUUUCUCCUGUUCUCCUGUGGGACUUCACAAGACGCUCCGGCCUCAAGUUUAGAGAGAGUCAGAUGUAGGAGGCUGGGCUGCAGAGAACCCAGCACUCAGGGGAGAGGACCAUGUGGGGUGCUGGGCGCUGGCGGGCAGGUAGCACAACCAGGGGAGGCCCAAAAACAGCCUGGAAAUCCCGACUUGGGAGCAGCGUCUGUCCUCCUCUGUGACCUUCUUGGCUUCUGAUGUGGGGAAAUUGGGGGAACUGGUCUGGGAGAAAGAACGUAUGGGCUUCUGCUCAGAUAGGCCAGGCCUGAGUCCCAGCAUGCUUCCUCUCUGAGUGACCUUGGGCAUGUUCCACAGCCUCAUCUGUGAAAAGGGAAAAUAUCUUGUCUCUAACACCAGGGACCUGCCACUGACUUGCUGAUAUUUUAUGACAAAACUCCAGUCACAGAGCUGUCCCUGGGAAGUCCUUAAAACAGGUGUUGAGAAGCAGGGUUCAGGUGUCUACAGUUGAGACUCAAAUGACCAUGGACACAAGGACAGCCAUCUCUCUGACCAGCCCCAAGGCUCCCUAUGGAACAAGUACAGAAGUGCCCUUAGUUAUGCUACAUCUCUUGCCUUCUGGAAACUUUUCUGAAGCUCUC